rnacentral:rRNA from 1 species
GAUGAACGCUAGCGGGAGGCCUAACACAUGCAAGCCGAGCGGUAUUGUUUCUUCGGAAAUGAGAGAGCGGCGUACGGGUGCGUAACACGUGUGCAACCUGCCUUUAUCUGGGGGAUAGCCUUUCGAAAGGAAGAUUAAUACUCCAUAAUAUAUUGAACGGCAUCGUUUAAUAUUGAAAGCUCCGGCGGAUAGAGAUGGGCACGCGCAAGAUUAGCUAGUUGGUGAGGUAACGGCUCACCAAGGCGAUGAUCUUUAGGGGGCCUGAGAGGGUGAUCCCCCACACUGGUACUGAGACACGGACCAGACUCCUACGGGAGGCAGCAGUGAGGAAUAUUGGUCAAUGGGUGCAAGCCUGAACCAGCCAUCCCGCGUGAAGGGCGACUGCCCUAUGGGUUGUAAACUUCUUUUGUAUAGGGAUAAACCUACCCUCGUGAGGGUAGCUGAAGGUACUAUACGAAUAAGCACCGGCUAACUCCGUG